UACGUAGGGUGCAAGCGUUGUCCGGAAUUAUUGGGCGUAAAGAGCUCGUAGGCGGUUUGUCGCGUCGGAUGUGAAAACCCAGGGCUCAACCCUGGGCCUGCAUUCGAUACGGGCAGACUAGAGUAUGGCAGGGGAGACUGGAAUUCCUGGUGUAGCGGUGAAAUGCGCAGAUAUCAGGAGGAACACCGGUGGCGAAGGCGGGUCUCUGGGCCGCAACUGACGCUGAGGAGCGAAAGCAUGGGGAGCGAACAGG
rnacentral:rRNA from 1 species